rnacentral:rRNA from 1 species
GACGAACGCUGGCGGCGUGCUUAACACAUGCAAGUCGAACGGUGAAGCUCCAGCUUGCUGGAGUGGAUCAGUGGCGAACGGGUGAGUAACACGUGAGCAACCUGCCCCUGACUCUGGAAUAAGCGCUGGAAACGGCGUCUAAUACUGGAUAUGAGAGGGUUCCGCAUGGACACUUUCUGGAAAGUUUUUCGGUUGGGGAUGGGCUCGCGGCCUAUCAGCUUGUUGGUGAGGUAAUGGCUCACCAAGGCGGCGACGGGUAGCCGGCCUGAGAGGGCGACCGGCCACACUGGGACUGAGACACGGCCCAGACUCCUACGGGAGGCAGCAGUGGGGAAUAUUGCACAAUGGGCGAAAGCCUGAUGCAGCGACGCCGCGUGAGGGAUGACGGCCUUCGGGUUGUAAACCUCUUUCAGCAGGGAAGAAGCGAAAGUGACGGUACCUGCAGAAGAAGCACCGGCUAACUACGUG